AAUUGGUUGAGAGUUGAUGCCGCUUUCCUGAUGAGGCCAUGGUAGGCCAAAACAAGUU
rnacentral:hammerhead_ribozyme from 15 species